GAUGAACGCUGGCGGCGUGCCUAAUACAUGCAAGUCGAGCGAACAGACGAGGAGCUUGCUCCUCUGACGUUAGCGGCGGACGGGUGAGUAACGCGUGGAUAACCUACCUAUAAGACUGGGAUAACUUCGGGAAACCGGAGCUAAUACCGGAUAAUAUAUUGAACCGCAUGGUUCAAUAGUGAAAGACGGUUUUGCUGUCACUUAUAGAUGGAUCCGCGCCGCAUUAGCUAGUUGGUAAGGUAACGGCUUACCAAGGCAACGAUGCGUAGCCGACCUGAGAGGGCGAUCGGCCACACUGGAACUGAGACACGGUCCAGACUCCUACGGGAGGCAGCAGUAGGGAAUCUUCCGCAAUGGGCGAAAGCCUGACGGAGCAACGCCGCGUGAGUGAUGAAGGUCUUCGGAUCGUAAAACUCUGUUAUUAGGGAAGAACAAAUGUGUAAGUAACUAUGCACGUCUUGACGGUACCUAAUCAGAAAGCCACGGCUAACUACGUG
rnacentral:rRNA from 1 species